UCCAUAAGCCAGCUGAUAAUUGAUGGCACACACAUAUGCACAUUGUGACUGGGGAAGCAGCUUGACAAUGUCACUGUGGGUCUCCAUAGCAACCAGGCCAGAGGAUUCUAAGGGUGGAGGUUCCGGGUGAAGCAGUUGCUACUAGAAUGGGAGAAGAGAAGGAACUGCAUCUAGAAGGGGAGGAAGAAGAAAAGAUUCAAGAUGGGGAACAUGAUGAAACUGAUGACUUCCAGCUCUGAGACAACUGAAAAGAAUACAGAAAAUGGUAUGUCUAUGGAUGAAGAAAUCUUAACAGUUCCCAUUAGCAACAAUCUUUAUGCAAAUCUCAAAAGAAGAGAAAACUACCUAUGCAGUCUGCUGCAAAAGAAGUUUGGUUGCAUAACUAUCCUUAAAAGUAAAUCCAACCCCAUUGCAGUUUAUAGAAAGAACCUGAAAGAAGGAAUUGAAGUUUCAGUCCUGUUAGAUGACCUGACCAGGCAUGAAGCUGAUGCUUUGGUGAAUCCAGCCAAUGAAAAACUGUAUCAUUUUGGAGGCCUUUCAUUUGCCCUUUUGAAAGCUGGCGGGCCAGAAAUUGAAGAGCAGUGCAAGCAUUUCAUUGAAAAGAAUGGACCGCUCCGUGUUGGCCAGAUUGCAGUGACUAGUGGAGGAAGACUCUCUUGCAAGCAAGUAAUCCAUACAGUAAGCCCAAGGUGGUCAAAAGACCAGAGGGAAGAAUGUUGCCUUGGACUUGAAACAGCCCUCAUAAAUAUUCUGAAAUAUGUUAAUGCACCAGAAAACAAUAUUAAGUCUGUAGCCAUUCCUGCACUGAGCUCAGGACUCUUCAACUUCCCACCCGAUUUAUGCGCUCGAGUGGUUGUCCAGACUAUAAAGAAUUUUAUUCAGUUGGCCCCAUUAUUUGGCUAUUUGCAAGAAAUCCACCUUGUGAACACUGAUGAGCCCACUGUUGAAAUCAUGAAAAGGGCUUGUGAAGAGUUGCUUGGUGAAAAUGACCUGGUGCUAUUGAGAGGAGCAUCAGAUUCUAUCACAGUGAACAGUCUCUGUCUACGGAUCCAAAAAGGGAAUAUAGAAAACCAGCAAACUGCCAUUAUUAUCAACUCUGUGGUUGCACAAGAUGAUCUUUCACAAGGAACCAUUUCAAGAGCCAUUCUGGAAAAAGCAGGUCCACCUCUGCAGGAGCAAUUUCUUUCUGAAUUACAGAAACUGCCAGCAGAUUGUCCCCAAAUGGUAUUCACCAAAGGAUACAACAUUGCCUGUAAGUUUGUGGUCCAUGUGAUAUGGCCAUCUCAUAUUGAGAGCAACACACAGCAGGCACUAAAAGCGGCAGUUUCUAAAAGCCUUCUCAAGACUCAGGAGCAGCAGUUUUCCUCCGUUUCUUUUCCUCCCCUUGGGAUUGAAGAUUUACAUUUGCCAAAGGAUGAAGUGGCUGAUAUUAUGGUAGAGCAAAUAAUAUGCUUUGCACAGGAACACCCUGGGGAGAAGCCAGACGUACAUAUUGUGAUUCCACCUGAUGAUGGUGAUGUUUAUGAGGCUUUCUGCGCCAAAAUUAUGUCAAUCAAAAUCAAGCUGGAGGAAAAAAUGGACUGCUGCAGUAUGAAUGCUAUGGAGAUACAGACUGACAUUCAAGCCAAUGCAAGUUCUGAAAAAAAUGGACCAUUUGUGGAACUCAUUGGAUGCAGUCAUGAAGCCCUGGAGGAAGCAAGGCUGUGGCUCAAGAACAUAAUGCAGGUUGAGGACACGCACCAAAUUGUUAUCAGAAAUUAUGGCCAUUUAAACUGUAGCCAAAGUGAGUGUAUGGAACUGUCCCAUCUGGAAAAGCAUUUUGGUAUUUUCAUACUGAAGAGUUUGACUAGAGAAGGGUCAGCAUUAGAGAUUACGGGUUCUCCCCAAGCUGUGAUUGAUGCAACAUUCGCCAUUGAAUUCAUGCUACAGAAUACAGCUGACCAAGAACUCUGGAAGGCAGAUGGAUGUUUGGCAAAUGAUCCUCAUCAAGAAGGGUGCAUAGAAAUGGCAAGCAAAUACUGUUACCAAGUAAUUCCAAUAGAGUCCUAUCUCCAAGAAUUCAAAGACAAAGAAAAACAGCUUGAAAAAUCUGGUCUUCGUGUUCUCAAGGUGAAGAACAGAUGAACAGUAAAAUCAUUAUGAAACAAUUGUGGGACAAAAUUAACAGGAAUUUGGGUGGAUUCAUUUAACUUGGGUUGUCCUACAGUCCUACACUGUGACCCCCAAGACAUCUAAAUUCGAUACAUCUCUCCAAUAUUACUUAAAUAUCCAGGCAGAACAGACCGUUUCUGUGUAUCACUAUUUUGUGAUGACAGGCGUAAGAUUCUGUACAAUCACUUGUUUGAUAAGACAGAGAAAUGUGGGCUAGGUUCAACCAAUAAUUUUAUUAUUUAUUUUAUAUUUUAUCAUCCGAAGAACUAUGUUUUAACCUAAUCAUUGUUUUAUGAUAAUUAAUCUUGUUCAUCUGAUCUGCUAUUUUGUUUGCUGACCUCUGAUCGCAGUAAAGGCUGAAAUGAAGUUAGGCGGGUGUAUGGAAAAUUAAAAUAGUAGGAGAGGGGGAAAAGACAGCAAAAUUAAGUCAGAUAAUCUUCCUCUUCACCCUCUUUGGUAAGAUGGAAAUUCUGUGAUCUUUGUGUGUGUUAUGUGCUGAUAAGUUGCUCCUGCUUGUGGCGACUGUAUGAAUGAAUGUCCUCCUAAACUUCCUAUCAUUAACAGCCUUGCUCAGAUCUUCAAAUAUAUAUAAUCUUAACAUUUAAAUAAAUAGCACCCACUGGGGGUGAGGAGAGCAGUUAGGAUUAAACUGGUUUUUUAAAUUCUUAUUAAUAUUUUUUAGAUAUUUAUAGAUUUACCAGUGUGGUUCCAAAACCAGUUACAUCAUUCUCCCUGCCACUACUGUAUCCUCCCAGCAACGCCUGUGAGGUUUACAGGCUGAGUGUGUUUGACUGGUCCAAGGUCAUCCAUAGUAGAAUGUGGAUUCAAAUCUGAAUCUUGCAGAUUGUAGUGUGACACUA